rnacentral:tRNA from 1 species
UUGAGGGUAGCUCAGUUGGCAGAGCAUGAGGCUCUUAAUCUCAGGGUUGUGUGUUCGAGUCCCACGUUGGGCAAA